GAUGAACGCUAGCGGCAGGCUUAAUACAUGCAAGUCGUGGGGCAGCAGGACUGUAGCAAUACAGUUGCUGGCGACCGGCAAACGGGUGCGGAACACGUACGCAACUUACCCUGAACUGGGGGAUAGCCCGGGGAAACCCGGAUUAAUACCCCGUAAUAUAAUGGAGUGGCAUCACUUUAUUAUUAAAGCUCCGGCGGUUCGGGAUGGGCGUGCGGCUGAUUAGGUAGUUGGUUGAGGUAACGGCUCACCAAGCCUACGAUCAGUAACUGGUGUGAGAGCAGGACCAGUCAGACGGGCACUGAGACACGGGCCCGACUCGUACGGGAGGCAGCAGUAAGGAAUACUGAGCAAUGGAGGCAACUCUGACCCAGCCAUGCCGGGUGGAGGAGGAAGGCCCUCGGGGUUGUAAACUUCUUUUAUAGGGGACGAAACCUGUGUAUUCUUACGCAGUUGACGGUACCCUAGGAAUAAGCACCGGCUAACUCCGUG
rnacentral:rRNA from 1 species